GGGGGCUUCCACCCUCAGUGCUGAAGUUAACACAUUAAGCACUCCGCCUGGGGAGUACGACCGCAAGGUUGAAACUCAAAGGAAUUGACGGGGGCCCGCACAAGCAGUGGAGCAUGUGGUUUAAUUCGAAGCAACGCGAAGAACCUUACCAGGUCUUGACAUCCUCUGCCACUCCUAGAGAUAGGACGUUCCCCUUCGGGGGACAGAGUGACAGGUGGUGCAUGGUUGUCGUCAGCUCGUGUCGUGAGAUGUUGGGUUAAGUCCCGCAACGAGCGCAACCCUUGAUCUUAGUUGCCAGCAUUAGGUUGGGCACUCUAAGGUGACUGCCGGUGACAAACCGGAGGAAGGUGGGGACGACGUCAAAUCAUCAUGCCCCUUAUGACCUGGGCUACACACGUGCUACAAUGGACGGUACAAAGGGCAGCAACACCGCGAGGUGAAGCGAAUCCCAUAAAGCCGUUCUCAGUUCGGAUUGUAGGCUGCAACUCGCCUACAUGAAGCCGGAAUUGCUAGUAAUCGCGGAUCAGCAUGCCGCGGUGAAUACGUUCCCGGGCCUUGUACACACCGCCCGUCACACCACGAGAGUUUGUAACACCCGAAGUCGGUGAGGUAACCUUUUGGAGCCAGCCGCCGAAGGUGGGACAAAUGAUUGGGGUGAAGUCGUAACAAGGUAA
rnacentral:rRNA from 1 species